UACAGGGGUUGCAAGCGUUGUUCGAAAUUACUGGGCGUAAAGCGCACGUAGGUUGUGAAGUAAGUCUUGUGUGAAAUCUCCGGGCUCAACUCGGAAACUGCAUGGGAAACUACUUUGCUAGAGGAUGUGAGAGGAUAGCGGAAUUCCCAGUGUAGUGGUGAAAUACGUAGAUAUUGGGAGGAACACCGGAGGCGAAAGCGGCUAUCUGGCACAUUUCUGACGCUGAGGUGCGAAAGCGUGGGGAGCAAACAGG
rnacentral:rRNA from 1 species